rnacentral:snRNA from 1 species
AAAUGCUACAGCUCUUUUAGAAUUUGUCUAGCAGGAUUUCCUAUCUUUACGGGAAACCCCUC